rnacentral:rRNA from 1 species
GGUUGUAAACUGCUUUUGUACGGAACGAAAAGGUCUGCCUUAAUACGUUGGGCCCCUGACGGUACCGUAAGAAUAACCACCGGCUAACUACGUGCCAGCAGCCGCGGUAAUACGUAGGGUGCGAGCGUUAAUCGGAAUUACUGGGCGUAAAGCGUGCGCAAGCCGUUAUUAAAACAGAGUGAAUUCCCCGGCCUCAACUGGGACCUGCAUUUGUGACUGUAGAGCUAGAAUGGGGUGGAGGGGGAUGGAAUUCCGCGUGUAGCAGUGAAAUGCGUAGAAAUGCGGAGGAAGACCUGAUGGCGAAGGCCUUCCCCUGGACCUGUACUGACGCUCAUGCACGAGAGCGUG